GAUGAACGCUAGCUACAGGCUUAACACAUGCAAGUCGAGGGGCAGCAUGAACUUAGCUUGCUAAGUUUGAUGGCGACCGGCGCACGGGUGAGUAACACGUAUCCAACCUUCCGUUUACUCAGGGAUAGCCUUUCGAAAGAAAGAUUAAUACCUGAUAGUAUGGUGAGAUUGCAUGAUAACACCAUUAAAGAUUUAUUGGUAAACGAUGGGGAUGCGUUCCAUUAGGUAGUAGGCGGGGUAACGGCCCACCUAGCCUGCGAUGGAUAGGGGUUCUGAGAGGAAGGUCCCCCACAUUGGAACUGAGACACGGUCCAAACUCCUACGGGAGGCAGCAGUGAGGAAUAUUGGUCAAUGGGCGAGAGCCUGAACCAGCCAAGUAGCGUGAAGGAUGACUGCCCUAUGGGUUGUAAACUGCUUUUAUAAGGGAAUAAAGUGGGAGUCGUGACUCUUUUUGCUAUGUACCUUAUGAAUAAGGACCGGCUAAUUCCGUGCCAGCAGCCG
rnacentral:rRNA from 1 species